AGAGUUUGAUCCUGGCUCAGGAUGAACGCUAGCGAUAGGCUUAACACAUGCAAGUCGAGGGGUAACGUGUUGGAAGCUUGCUUCCGAUGACGACGACCGGCGGAUGGGUGCGUAACGCGUAUGCAACUUGCCUCACAGUGGAGAAUAACCCGGAGAAAUCCGGACUAAUGUUCCAUACACUCUUAAGUACGCCUGUACAUGAGAGGAAAGAUUUAUCGCUGUGAGAUAGGCAUGCGUCCUAUUAGGUAGUUGGUGAGGUAACGGCUCACCAAGCCGACGAUAGGUAGGGGUGCUGAGAGGCAGAUCCCCCACAUUGGGACUGAGACACGGCCCAAACUCCUACGGGAGGCAGCAGUGAGGAAUAUUGGUCAAUGGAGGAAACUCUGAACCAGCCAAGUCGCGUGAAGGAAGAAUGUCCUAAGGAUUGUAAACUUCUUUAGCGAGCGAGUAAUGACUUCCACGUGAUGGGAGUUUGAAAGUAGCUCGAGAAUAAGUAUCGGCUAACUCCGUGCCAGCAGCCGCGGUAAUACGGAGGAUACGAGCGUUAUCCGGAUUUAUUGGGUUUAAAGGGUGCGCAGGUGGUCUUGCAAGUCAGUGGUGAAAAGCUGAGGCUCAACCUCAGCCUUGCCGUUGAAACUGUAAGACUUGAGAGUACAUGAUGUGGGCGGAAUGCGUAGUGUAGCGGUGAAAUGCAUAGAUAUUACGCAGAACUCCGAUUGCGAAGGCAGCUCACAAAGGUAUGUCUGACACUGAGGCACGAAAGCGUGGGGAGCGAACAGGAUUAGAUACCCUGGUAGUCCACGCCGUAAACGAUGAUUACUCGAAGUAUGCGAUAUGACAGUAUGCUUCCAAGCGAAAGUGAUAAGUAAUCCACCUGGGGAGUACGCCGGCAACGGUGAAACUCAAAGGAAUUGACGGGGGCCCGCACAAGCGGAGGAACAUGUGGUUUAA
rnacentral:rRNA from 1 species